GCAGCUCAGUGGUAGAGCAUCUGUCUUGCGUGCAGAAGGUCCCAGGUUCAAUCCCCAGGUAGGGCU